CAAACCCAGCAUGGCAAAUCUACCGUUCCACAUCUCAGCAUCAGAUGUCAUGACGCCCUCUGACUUGGAUUCCGCGCUGACCCCUUUGAACAGUGGGAUCAAAGACGCGACUGAGAGCAGAAUACUUGUUCCGAGGAACCACGAGACUCCACCGUUAGAUAUCUGAUAAGAAAGGUCUUGGCCCUUGGACAGUUCCACUGCCAUUGCAGCGACAAAGCCUAUCAUGGCAAGCCUGCCAUUGAUCCUCUCUGGUGCGGGUCCGCUAAAUGCGAACAAAUCAAGGAAUUUUGUGCUGCCCUGUUAAUCACAGUCAUACGGGCGUUUACAUUAGAAGUGGAAGCAUAAAUGCAAUCACAAAGUCCAUGCUCUAUGUAAAUUGUUAAAAUUAAACGUUUCCGAAAUAAACCAUGCCGUAUAAUUAAUCCUGUACCUUUGGCUUAGGAGUAGAACUUGGCUCUGCUAACUUCUUGAUCUGGUCAUCCUGCAAAUUGAUUCAAAUGUCAACACAAUCCUAAGAACAAUCACCUAAUUAAAGUAUACACAAAGGAAGUCGAAAUAGAUUCCAAACUCACCAGCUUGGAGCACUGCACCCGUUUGCUAGCACUGCCACGUAGUCGUGGCACAAACGUCGCAGAAAACAAGUUGCUCACUCGAGACCGGUUUUUCACCAGACCACUAGGUACUGGAGUUGCAAGGACGGUCUGCAUGACUGUUGAUGUGGCCAUCAAUUAGAACAAUGUUUAUCACUCGAGCUGUGAUUUAGAAACUUAAUCAAUAUCUAAACUGUGAAAGCUAUUCUAAUGCUAGAGGGAACGUUCGCAAGGGAUAUCACUACCAGUGAGUUGAAGCUGGAGCUAUUUGCUUUGUAAUGAUAAUUAAUGUAUCUGACAGUGGUUUGGUAGGCUGUUAUAUAGCCGAUGGGGCAAGAGAGGAGCGGGCAUUUUGCUUCCACGUCAUCUAUAUCUAAUGAAAAGGCUGAUUGGAUCACGUGGCUUCGGUUGUCCUCAUAUGGUCAAGUGGGUUACGUGGCCUCCUCACAGUCACUAGUGGAUCCCCACCCCAUUUAAGAACCUGAGGCCAACGUUGUUCUAGGUUUUCCAGCUGAGCAGCGACCACGGCAUAGUAAUUGAACUGGGCUCAGCCACAUUUUACCGCAUUAAUUUGACACGUUCCAAAUAACACAGUUAAAUGGAAUGUAUAAUUUGUCGACAAGUUUCUUCUCUGAGAUCUUUUUUAGUAGGUGGUUGAUGAUAGUUUAUGUAUUUUCAUCUCCUACUUGUUAUCCUUUUUCCUUUGUUCACUAAGUUAAUUUUUUCUUUAUCCGCUGAGCUAAUUUCAUUCCUUGGGAAUAUUUUUAUCGUUGUUUUUUUUUUCUCAUUUGCUUUUUAAUUUUUCACCAAAACAUUUAAAAUCAUCUUCUUUACAUCUUCAAGGUUUUUUUCAAUAUAUUGAAAAGCCUUUUUUUUCUUCUCAGUUACGUGUUGAUUUCUCACCGAAACAUUCAAAAGCAUCUUCUUUGCAUCUUCUAGUAUUUGCUGGCAUGACUCAACAUCCUUUCGAAUGCAAGCCAAAUGAUAUUUGAAAUGGUAAAUGUCUCAACUGAAAAUUUUCUAACAAUACUUGCACUGAACUUUUCUUGAAUUCUUAUCAAUAUCUAUACUAUGUUACCAUCUCACGUCAAGUUUAUUGUCACUAGUAGUUUUUUUUAGAUGUCAUGUAUCUUGCAAUUCAAGAAUCAAUUCAAAUCAACUCUAUAAUUAAAAUCGCAAACAUUUACUUCACUUUGCAACUUAAUAAGAAACUCGAUAAAAAUCAUGUGUAACCCUCAACUAUUUUAUUAUUUUCACUUUGAUUCCUCUGUUUUUUGGAUAGAUUAACUCAUUUACUUCAUCAUUUACAAGAAACGAGUCCCUUUAAAUUUUAGCAGGCUAUUUAACAUUAAUUACUCUAUUGUCUAAUGCCAGUUUACAACUUAUAUUCUAUAGAUUUGCCAGCUAAAACAGAGAAAUGCCAAAUUUUUCUUCACAUCUUUCUCCAAUUAUUUGAAUUGAUUAUAGAUUUGUGUCCCAUUGAAUCUUCAAAGAGAAAAAAAAAUAGAGAACACAAAAGAAUGCAUCUCAUGUUUAAUCAAAACACAAAACUCAACAGAGCAAGAACAAAGAGAGAAGUGACAUUAACAUUUAAAACACUACUAGAAAAUUGAUAAAUACAAACGGAAAUACCGAGAGAAUAUUUCCGUCGGUAAAUUUCUGAGAGAUUUUACCGACGGAAAUAUUCCCUCGGUAUAUACCGAGGGAAUUACUGUGGGAAACAAAAUUAAAACAAAGCAAAAAAAAAUGAUAACGUGUCAUUUUUACCAACGGAAAUAAAUCCGUCGGUAAAUCUGGUGGUAAACUGUGAACAUUGUUCAUCAUGUCAAUUACAAAGGGAAUCACCGACGGAAAUUUUUUUCGGUAUUUUCCAGAGAGCUCCAGAACUGUUCACUUUCCAAUUGCACUGUUAAUUGUUGUUCUUUACAGACAAAAUCACCGACGGAUUGAAAAGUCGUCGGUGUUAUUUGGUGGUUUUCUGAAAAAAAAUCAAUUAAUUUAAAUUUUUCAUUUAAAUAUUACAGAUGGAAUCACCGACGGAUUGAAAAAUCGUCGGUAAUUGUUGGCGGUUUCUGAAAACUUUUUACAAAAUUGAAAAUUUAAAUUAAAUAUUACCGAUAGAAUUACCGACGGAAUAAUUAAAAAAUAUUAAUAUUCAAUUAUCCGUCGGUAGAUCCGUCGCUAACGCGCCCCAAUAAAAAGUCUGGAUCCCCUUAUUUCACAAGAGACAGGCUCAUUUUUUAUAAUUUUUCUUCUACUUCUUCUUCUUCUUCUACUACUACUACUACUACUACUUCUUCUUCUUCUUGUUCACUAUAUGUAAAAAAUAUCAAUAUCUAUUUCAUUCUUUUAUUUUCUCUUCUCAUCUUCUUCUCCUUAGCUUCACUUGCAACUACAUUAAGGUAAUAUUUUUCUUUUUUCUUCUUUUUUCAUGAUUGUUUUCACUAUAUUUGUUUUUUAUUCUAUUUUUAAUUGUUUUUGUUCUUAAUAAUUGUAUAAAUUUUGUUGUGAGAUUUUUUUUCAUAUGAGACUAAUUUUUAGUUGAUUUAUUUAUAGGGAUUUUUAAAUUUUUAGCAAUUGCAACUUCAUUUUUUUCAUAUGAAUUUUUUUAGUUGAAUUUAUUUUUUUCAUUUUAUUUAUUUGUUGCAAAUUUGUUUGAGUUGAUUUUCUUCUUUUUUUUCCAAGCAUUUUGAGUAUAUAAUAUACAAUGUUGAUUUAUGUUAAUUUAAUUAUUUUAUAAUUUCAUAAAAUGAAUUUUUUUAAAAUAUUUUUAUAUAAUUACCGACGGAAUUACCGAGCUUGAAUUUGUGUCCAAUGAUAUUGAGGCUCUUAUUGGAUUGCCAAUUUGUUAUGGUAUGAUAGAUCAUUCAGAAUCAAAAUUGUCAAUUUGUUAACCAUCUAGGUGGUGGCCCAGUGGUAACAGUUUGGGACUAAGAGGUUUGCUCUCUUUGUGGUCUCAGGUUCAAGCCCUGUAGUUGCUCAUAUGAUGGCCACUGGAGGCUUACAUGGUCGUUAACUUCAGGGCCCGUGGGAUUAGUCGAAGUGUGUGCAAGCAGACCCAGACACCCACGUUAAACUAAAAAAAAAAAAAUUGUCUUUUCAAAAUUAAAAAUUUAGCCAGAUAAGGAGAUUUUUUUUGGCAUGUUUGUUUUCAAAUUUCAGGCACCAUUUGGUUGUUAGGUUCUUAUUGAUUGUGAUUAAAGUGAUUGGUUUUGAUUUAGAAAUAAUUUUAGCUUAUGUUGUGCAUGGAAGAAAAACAAUAAUGAAGCAUUAAAGUGAAUAAAACCUAAAUUUCCAAAAUGUUUGUGGUUUGUUCGGGGCUCUAAGAUUUGCAUUGUGAAUUUUAUAGAAUGGAAGUGCUUGAUAAUAAUUUGGCAAAAUGAAAAUGAACCGAUUAGAUUUUGUAGGAAAGUUUAUGCAAUCUCCUCAAAUCUUUCUUAUAAUGGCUGUUUUUACUUAUUUUGGGCCCACAUGCUGAAGAUGAUGUAUACUGUUUUUUGAAUCGAGUGCAGGUGCUAAAGAUGCACCGACGGCUUUCAAUCUUGGCAUGUUCCUAGCUAGGAUAACAUAAAGAAGGAGAAGUAAAACCUACAGAAGUAUUAUUUGUAAUUUAUAUAAAUGAUUGAAAAUUGAUCUUUUACAUAUUUCGCUACUGAAAUUACAUUGAUUCAAGUAUCCAUGUUAACAUCUAUGGCUUGAAAAAUACACAAGACAGAAACUAUAGAAGGGUUCCACCCGAGACAUACUCGGUGCAGGCCAGCGCAACCAAACCCAACAUGGCAAAUCUACCGUUCCACAUCUCAGCAUCAGAUGUCAUGACGCCCUCUGACUUGGAUUCCGCGCUGACCCCUUUGAAUAGUGGGAUCAAAGACGCGACAGAGAGCAGAAUACUUGUUCCGACGAACCACGAGACUCCACCGUUAGAUAUCUGAGAAAAAAGGUCUUGGCCCUUGGACAGUUCCACUGCCAUUGCAGCGACAAAGCCUAUCAUGGCAAGCCUGCCAUUGAUCCUCUCUGGUGCGGGUCCGCUAAAUGCCAACACAUCAGCGAAUUUUGUGCUGACCUGUUAAUCGUCAUCAUGCGUGCGUUUACAUUAGAAGUGUAAGCAUAAUUGAAAUCAAAAUGUCCAUGCUCUACUUAAAUUGUUAAAAUUAAACAUUUCCGAAAUAACUCUACCAGAUAAUUAAUCCUGUACCUUUGGCUUAGGAGGAGGACUUGGCUCUGCUGACAUAUUCUGCUCAUCCUGCAAAUUGAACCAAAUGUUAACACAAUCCUAAGAACCAUCACCUAAACUAUAUACAAAGGAAGUCGAGAUGGAAUCCAAAUUACUCACCAGCUCGGCCUUGCACUGCAACCGUUUGCCAGCACUGCCACGUAGUCGUGGCACAUACGUAGCAGAAAACAAGUUGCUCACUCGAGACCGGUUUUUCACCAGACUACUGGCCACUGGAGAUGCAAGGACGGUCUGCAUGACUGUUGAUGUGGCCAUCACUUAGAACAAUGUUUAUCACUCGAUCUGUGAUUAAGAAACUUAAUCAAUAUCUAAACUGUGAAAGCUAUUCGAAUGCUAGAGGCAGCGUUCAGUAAGAAAUAUCACUACCAGUGAGUUGAAGCUGGAGCUUUUUGCUUUGUAAUGAUGAAUAUUUAAUGAAUCUGACGGUGGUUUGGUAGGCUGUUAUAUAGCCGAUGGGGCAAGAGAGGAGCGGGCAUUUUGCUUCCACGUCAUCUAUAUCUAAUGAAAAGGCUGAUUGAAUCACGUGGCUUCGGUUGUCUUCACACGGUCAAGAGUGGGUUACGUGGCCUCCUCACAGUCACUAGUGGAUCCCCACCCAAUUUAAGAAUCUGAGGCCAAUGUUGUUCUGGGACCACGGCAUAGCAAUCGAACUGGACUCAGCCACGAUUUUACCGCAUUAAUUUGACACGUUCAAUCACAUAACCUGACAAACCAAUAUUAAUAGUAAUAUAAAAAACUUAUGAUGUAACAAAACAUUUAUGAUGCUUAUGAUUUUUUCUUCUUUUUAUAUUUGUUUUUUAUGUUAUAAAUACUCCAUAAUUAAAAUUUUAAGCAAAAGUAAGUGUGUGAUUUAUAGAACAAUACAAAUAUUUUAUGUAAAAGUAUUUUUUAAAGAGAAAAUUAUCUUGAGUAUCGUAUAGUUUAUUUAAUUUUAUAUUUUGUUUUUAUUAUUUUAAAAAUUACUGAAAUUAUUCUUGAUCAACCGAAAAUUUUAAAUCGAUUGAAAUGAUCAAAUUAACCUCUACCUGUUGUAAUUCCUUAAAAUUUUGUUGCUUGUUGGGUGCUAUUAUAACUAUGGUAAAAACAUAUUGUUGAUCAAGACAUGGUCACAAAAAAGAUAAGGAAAAUUUUUCUUGGGAGAGAAACAUUGAGAUGCUCGUCAUGAAAGACUUUCAAAGGUAGAUCACAAAGUUGACUUAUAGGUUAAAGGAUAAGGGUUUAUAAAACCAAAAUUAGAAGAGUGAUCAUGGAUUCCUAGCCAAUACUGAAAACCAAAGGCAUGAUCAUAUAUAAAAUAUAACCUCUUGAUUAGGAAGAGAUUAAAUUUAGGAAUUUUUUGUUUCACAUUAAAAUCCCUAAAUUCACAAGAACUUCACAAGUAAAGGAUUUCAUAGAACAGAUAAAUAGGGUAAAAUGAAUUUUUUAGUAUAAUGAGGUUCUCAAAUAGAUGUGAGGGAAGUUGAUGGUGAUUAGAUUAAAAGGUAGAGUUUCUGUUUAAUGAGAAUAGUUAAAAGAAAUCGAGAGAGGCAUGAAAAGCUGAGAAUAGUAAUUUAGAAAAGAUGAAGAAGAAACUAAAAGAACACUUCCUUCCAUUUGGCUAUGCCCAAACCCUGUACAAAAGGUUUCAUAUGUUAAAACAAAUAGACAUCAAGUCAUAGUUUUGGUUUAGUUUUCAGGAUUUGUUGUUAUAGUUGUGGUGAGUUAAGGCAUCAAGCUAAUGAGAAUGCAUUAAAAAACCAGAAAGUUAUAUAGAAAAAAAUAUGUUGAUAGAGGAACCUGCAAAUAAUAUGGCUGAUCUUAUUUAAAAUGACUCUAACAACAGUGAAUAGACUUUAAAUGGGGAUAGCAGUACUACACUAGUUGUCUGAAAAAUCAUGUUGUCACCCGAUGGUGAUUAAUGAUAGAAUUGGUUGUGUUCUAAAAUCUUCCAAAUAACGUGUAUUGUUAACAACAAGAUAUGCAAUCUAAUCAUCUUCGAUAGUAGUUAUGAGAAUAUAGUGUUAGUUGAAGUGGUAGAAAAAUUACAGCUUAACAUAGAAAAACUCUUCAUCCCUUCAAACUAAAAUAGCUGAAUGAAACAACAAGGUAAUAACGGACAAGGGCUAUUUUAUUUUGUUUUUCAUAAGCAAGAUUAUAUAUUUUAAUAAUAUUUGGCAUGAUGUGGUGGCUAUAGAUGUGUAUCAUAUACUUUUGGACAGACCAUAACAAUAUGAAAGAAAUGUCGUGCAUGAUGGAAGCUGUAAUACAAAUACCCUUACUAUAACAAGGAAAAUAUGGUAAUGACUCCUAGAAAGAGGAGGCAAUUGUUGAAGAUAAGGGUAAAAAUAAGUUGUUUUUAUAUAGAUUUACGGAGAACAAGAAUAAAAAAAAAAGAAUGUGAAGGAGGUGAAGAGGGUAAAGGUCUAUUGUGGAAUAAGUUAAUUAAAAUGAGUAGUGGUUUUGUCAAGAUCAAGGGUGGUAUUUUGAAAAGUUAAUUAUUUUUUUCCCUACUUUAUCUAAGUUGAUUACAUGACAAAAGUCUAAAAAUGGUUGAUGACAGCGACAUGGUUAUGACCAAAACUUGAGGAUGAGUUUUUCCUAACCCAAAUGAUAUAGGUAUGUUUGCAAAGAUUAGGAGUUCUAAGCAGUUAUAUAAAGAUUUUCCUAAAACAAAUUAUGUGGAUGACCUAAUAUAUAUUUUCAUGAAUUGAUGGGACAGGUCUCGGUCAAAGAAAAGGUUUGGCCACGCCAAACUGAGAUAAUAGCUUAAAAUGAUGAUUAUAGAACAUUUUACCGUUGUAUUGGAUUUAAAUUUUAUAGGAGAUUUUUCAUGCUAUUUUUCUAUAAAAGCUACUACAUUACUUACUAGACCAUAGAACAUCCCAAUAUUAGGACUUAAAGUUAUUGUUUGGACUACUUUUUUUUAUUUUUGCUAGAUAUUUUUGGAUUUUGUGUUAAUUUCCUUUACUUGUUAGGAUUUUCAUUUUAAUUUUAAUUUUAAUUUUCUAGUUUAGGUCAUUUUUUUAACCUAUAAAAAAGCAUUGUAAAUCUCUUUAUAAGGCAUACUUGGUCAAAUUAUUAUUUCAUAAAUAAAAUAAGUUUCAACUCUAAUUCAGUCUCUCUUUAUGUGUUGUUAUUAUUUUAGUGUGCUUUUAUCUACAUUAAUAGGCUAGAUAUUUUACUUGCUUGUUGUUUUGGCUACUUCAGUGCACAUCUAUCUUUAUUAAAAUCCAUUAAGGUGAGUAAAAAAUGCAGAAAAAAAUAAAAGAAAAAUUAUCCUGAUUAUUCUAUAAUUUACUCAAUUUUACACAUUGUCUCUAUAGUUUUGAAAAUUUCAGAAAGUAUUUUGAAUUUAUAUGUUCAUAACACUUUACACGAUGCUAAAAAAAUCAACAAAAAAGGUUUAACUAUUUACAAGAUUGGUUUUGUAUUUUUUUUAAUGACUAAACAACGUUAGUAUAUCAAAAUAAUAAAAAUACCCUUAAAUAAAAAAUGGCAAUCCAAUAAAUAUAGCAUAUAUUCAGAGCUUGAAAUUUUGUGAAGCAUUUUAACAAACACAUCGUAUGUUACUUCAACUUUUCAAAUCCUCAUCCUCAAAUCAUAAAGUCCAAAACCUUGUUCUUCAUUUUCUCCUUCUAGAAUCUAGCCAACUAAACCUAACAAAUCUCCUCUAUUAAAGCACCAAUUUUGCCACCACUCAAACCUAACAUAAGUCUUUCUACUGUUGUUUUCUAAAAGCUCAUUGACUUUCAAAGCACAAGAACACCACUAAAUUUUUAGGCUAAAAUAAUAAUGUCAAAGCUCCAACCAACUUUUAUUAUCUAGAUAUAAUGAAGUUUUUUUGGCAAGAAGAAGAGAUGCAUAUUUGCACAACCAAGCUAGGAAUGCUUUAUUGUCUACUAGAUGUAGAUCUACACCAUGUAGAGCUUCUUCUUUAGGUGGUAGAUUUUAGGGGUCACCUUCGAAGAGCAAAGAAAUUGAGAGAAAAACAUAAAUACUCCGAAAGAAAACAAAGGAAAUGGAGAAAAUAAGUUUGGACCCAAAAACUAAAGUAAAGAUUAUGCUUUGGAUGUAAACUAAUGCAGAUCUUACUAAUUUUUCUUUUACCCUUUCUCUAUUUAUUUUUAUUCUAUAUCUUUAAGAUCUUAAAAACAAGCUUUCAUAUUAGUCUAUAUUCACGAACAAAUGAUUUUUCUUUCGGAACAAUCUUAAAUUUUGUCUUUAAAACUCCAUACAACACCUGAUCAAGGCACGCUAAUCUCUAUAAAAUCCACAAUAAAAAAAACCCUAGUAAUAAUGCCAACAUUGGCACACCAAUCUCUAUAAAAUCCACACUCAAAUCUCUUAAUAAAAAAAACCCUGAUAAUAAUGCCAUCAAUGAAACCCAACUUUUCAAUUCAAUCAAAGACCUCCCUUUAGCAUAUGCAUUAUUCUUUUCCUUUCAAAUAUCCUUCACACAUGGCUUUCUUGAAUCCCACAGAACCCCGCAAUUGAAAACAACUUUACCCUACUUAGCCUCUGAUGAAUGAUGAAAUUUUAUCAGAUUUAUAUAAAAAUUUUAUCAGAUCUAUAUAAAUCUAAAGGGCAUGAAACCAUAAUUCAUUAAUCUUGUGUUUUCUUUUAUGGUGUUGGAUUUGGUUAGACAAGAAAAUUUGUUGACCAGCGAGUAGUUCUCUAUGCUCCCAGUUCAAUCGGACUUCUGUUCUAUGUGCAUUUCACUCGUUUUUGACUGAUAGUAAAUUUUUUAUCAUGUAUAUAUCAUUUGAGAUAUACCGGUUGGAAAUCUGAGUAGAAGUGAAUUUUUGGUAUUCCAGUUUGUAAAUAUAUUUUGUAACUGGCAAAGGAAUGGCGAUUUUUAAAUGGCCUAAACUGGAUGGGUAUCGGGUUUCUGUCUACCAUUUUCAUUAAGUGUAGUUGGGCAAACAUUUGUAAUCGGUUGCUGCAAGAAAGAUGCGUGAAUGGUUACAAGUCCGAAAUAUUAUUAGUUUGAGAGUUUAGCUACUCCAACUUCACUAUAGAUGGCAUAACAUAAAGAAGGAGAAGAGAAAUCUACAGAAGCGUUAUUUGUAAGUUAUAUAGAUGAUUGAAAAUUGAUCUUAUAUAUUUUGCUACUGAAAUUACUUUGAUUCAAGUAUCCAUGUUAACAUAUAAGCUUGAAUAAUACACAAAACAGAAACUACAGAAGCGUUCUACCCGAGACAAACUCGGUGAAGGCCAACGCAACCAAACCCAACAUGGCAAAUCUACCGUUCCACAUCUCAGCAUCAGAUGUCAUUACGCCAUCUGACUUGGAUUCCGCGCUGACCCCUUUGAAUAGUGGGACCAAAGACGCGACAGAGAGCAGAAUACUUGUUCCGACGAACCACGAGACUCCACCGUUAGAUAUCUGAGAAAAAAGGUCUUGGCCCUUGGACAGUUCCACUGCCAUUGCAGCGACAAAGCCUAUCAUGGCAAGCCUGCCAUUGAUCCUCUCUGGUGCGGGUCCGCUAAAUGCCAACACAUCAGCGAAUUUUGUGCUGACCUGUUAAUCAUCAUCAUGCAUGCGUUUAUAUUAGAAGUGUAAGCAUAAAUGCAAUCAAAAAGUCCAUGCUCUACUUAAAUUGUUAAAAUUAAACAUUUCCGAAAUAACUCAUGCCAGAUAAUUAAUCCUGUACCUUUGGCUUAGGAGGAGGACUUGGCUCUGCUGACAUUUUCUGCUCAUCCUGCAAAUUGAACCAAAUGUUAACACAAUCCUAAGAACCAUCACCUAAACUAUAUACAAAGGAAGUCGCGAUGGAAUCCAAAUUACUCA
rnacentral:lncRNA from 1 species